UACGGGGGGGGCAAGCGUUGUUCGGAAUUACUGGGCGUAAAGCGCACGUAGGCGGAUCAGUAAGUUAGAGGUGAAAGCCCAGGGCUCAACCCUGGAACUGCCUUUGAUACUGCUGGUCUGGAGGUCGAGAGAGGUGAGUGGAAUUCCGAGUGUAGAGGUGAAAUUCGUAGAUAUUCGGAGGAACACCAGUGGCGAAGGCGGCUCACUGGCUCGAUACUGACGCUGAGGUGCGAAAGCGUGGGGAGCGAACAGG
rnacentral:rRNA from 1 species